GAUGAACGCUGGCGGCGUGCCUAAUACAUGCAAGUCGAGCGAACGGACGAGAAGCUUGCUUCUCUGAUGUUAGCGGCGGACGGGUGAGUAACACGUGGAUAACCUACCUAUAAGACUGGGAUAACUUCGGGAAACCGGAGCUAAUACCGGAUAAUAUUUUGAACCGCAUGGUUCAAAAGUGAAAGACGGUCUUGCUGUCACUUAUAGAUGGAUCCGCGCUGCAUUAGCUAGUUGGUAAGGUAACGGCUUACCAAGGCAACGAUGCAUAGCCGACCUGAGAGGGUGAUCGGCCACACUGGAACUGAGACACGGUCCAGACUCCUACGGGAGGCAGCAGUAGGGAAUCUUCCGCAAUGGGCGAAAGCCUGACGGAGCAACGCCGCGUGAGUGAUGAAGGUCUUCGGAUCGUAAAACUCUGUUAUUAGGGAAGAACAUAUGUGUAAGUAACUGUGCACAUCUUGACGGUACCUAAUCAGAAAGGCACGGCUAACUACGUG
rnacentral:rRNA from 1 species